rnacentral:rRNA from 1 species
GAUGAACGCUGGCGGCGUGCCUAAUACAUGCAAGUCGAGCGAACAGACGAGGAGCUUGCUCCUCUGACGUUAGCGGCGGACGGGUGAGUAACACGUGGAUAACCUACCUAUAAGACUGGGAUAACUUCGGGAAACCGGAGCUAAUACCGGAUAAUAUAUUGAACCGCAUGGUUCAAUAGUGAAAGACGGUUUUGCUGUCACUUAUAGAUGGAUCCGCGCCGCAUUAGCUAGUUGGUAAGGUAACGGCUUACCAAGGCAACGAUGCGUAGCCGACCUGAGAGGGUGAUCGGCCACACUGGAACUGAGACACGGUCCAGACUCCUACGGGAGGCAGCAGUAGGGAAUCUUCCGCAAUGGGCGAAAGCCUGACGGAGCAACGCCGCGUGAGUGAUGAAGGUCUUCGGAUCGUAAAACUCUGUUAUUAGGGAAGAACAAAUGUGUAAGUAACUAUGCACGUCUUGACGGUACCUAAUCAGAAAGCCACGGCUAACCACGUG